GGGAAAAUUAUUUCCCCUAAGUGGCUGAUUACACUGACCAAAUUGGAGGACUCAUAAUCCUUUGGUUCCAGGUUCGAAUCCUGGUGGGCCCACCA
rnacentral:tRNA from 1 species